rnacentral:rRNA from 1 species
GGCGGACGGGUGAGUAAUGCGUAGGAAUCUGUCUUUUAGUGGGGGACAACCCAGGGAAACUUGGGCUAAUACCGCAUGAGCCCUGAGGGGGAAAGCGGGGGAUCUUCGGACCUCGCGCUAAGAGAGGAGCCUACGUCCGAUUAGCUAGUUGGCGGGGUAAAGGCCCACCAAGGCGACGAUCGGUAGCUGGUCUGAGAGGACGACCAGCCACACUGGGACUGAGACACGGCCCAGACUCCUACGGGAGGCAGCAGUGGGGAAUUUUUCGCAAUGGGGGCAACCCUGACGAAGCAAUGCCGCGUGGAUGAAGAAGGCCUUCGGGUUGUAAAGUCCUUUCGUGGAGGACGAAAAGGUGGGUUCUAAUACAAUCUGCUAUUGACGUGAAUCCAAGAAGAAGCACCGGCUAACUCCGUGCCAGCAGCCGCGGUAAU